CGGCCCUGGUAGCGCAGCGGGAAGCGCCCCUGACCAUCGGGCUGGCCGAGGAAGGGCAGCCCCUGCUUCAUCUGCUCCGGCAGAUCGGGCCCGG
rnacentral:tRNA from 1 species